CAGCAGCCGCGGUAAUACCGGCGGCCCGAGUGGCGGUCACUAUUAUUGGGCUUAAAGCGUCCGUAGCCGGGUUGGGAAGUCCUCCGGGAAAUCUGGCCGCUUAAAGGUCAGAAUGCCGGAGGAUACUCCCAGCCUAGGGAGCGGGAGAGGCCGAGGGUAUUCCCGGAGUAGGGGGGAAAUCCUAUAAUCCCGGGAGGACCACCUGUGGCGAAGGCGCUCGGCUGGAACGCGUCCGACGGUGAGGGACGAAGGCCAGGGGAGCAAACCGGAUUAGAUACCCGGGUAGUCCUGGCUGUAAACGAUGCGGACUUUGUGUCGGACAAGCUAUGAGCUUGUCCGGUGCCGGAGGGAAACCGUUAAGUCCGCCGCCUGGGGAGUACGGCCGCAAGGCUGAAACUUAAAGGAAUUGGCGGG
rnacentral:rRNA from 1 species